GCCGGAAGACGAGACUCCGCGGGAAAAGCUGCCCCGCUAGGUGGACGAGGAGCUGUCGGGGUGAGGCAGUUUCCUCAAGAGUAACGGCGGGCCUGUGCUAGGGUCACACCACCGGCCUUCGUUUCCUUUACCCUUCUCUCUAACCAAACGAUAUUCCUGCCCAGUUACAAAGUGCAAGUUGUUUCCCUAAGCUUACAAUCUGAAGGUGUCCGUUCCUACACUGGUCAGACCACUGUCCUUGGGGCAGCUGGGGUCUUUGGGACCCUCCACCGGGCUCGCCGGUCCGUCGGACUUUUGGCUGAGAUCCGUGUCAGACUCCUCCGAAUAGUCGUCUGUUGGCAUCGAGGGCUGAACCCCUGAGGUGCUGCAUGAACUUGAGGUAACCGUUGAAGAUGAGGAGAGAGGAGGAAAAGAAGGGGGCUUCGCGGCCGAAGCCCGGGAGACCACUUGCGGCCAAGACUUCCUGGAGGCGUGGGGGGAAGCGGAGGACGAGGAGGGGGCGGCGGCCGACGGGGGAGGGGGGCUGUCGUUUGAGUGAGCGGCAGACUGCGAGGUAGAUGCGGUGCUAGGAUCGGGGAAGCAGGCAGAGUGAGGUAAUAAACUAGGGUGCUCUUUGGCGUUUCUUGCUGCUCUCGUGAUUGUUCUGUGUUUGUGCAAGGCCGACUCGAGAUGUUGACUCAGAGCUUCCUCCCCACAGAGCGCGCUCUCGCACGCCAGGCAGUGGUACGAGCCGCCGCCGCCACCGCCGCCACCGCUGCCGCCGCCACUGCCGCCGCCGCCCGUGGGGACGUGAAGCACCAUCUCUUGCAGGUUCACCACAGACUGGCCGAAGAAGCAGAGGGACUUCAGGUGACUCCUUGCCGCCUCCUCGUCACCGAAGCCCGCCUGGCACUUGCGGCAGACCAACUUGUACUGCACCUUUGGAACAAUGAAGGGGUCAUAGAGGGAGUCCGCACUUUUGCUUUCUGCUUCUGGCUCUUCGGGGGGUUUCGGCAGGAGGGGGGACACCUCACGGGGUGCGUUUUUCUGCUCUUCUGGUUUGGGGGAUUCUUUGGCAGGGUCUUUGUCUGGGGAAGCAGCCCCCUGGGGGACUGGGGUUUGGCUUGCUUUGGGCUGCUGCUGCACUUUUUGCUGCUGCUGCUGCUGCUGCUGCUGCAGUUGCCGCUGCUGCUGCUGCUGCUGGAUCGCCUCCUGCAGACUCUGCUGGUAUUGCUGGUACUGCUGCAGUAGGGAGCCCGGGGACAGCCCCAUCAGGGCCUGCGACAGUGCAGGGCUGUAGGGGAACAGGCCUUCCAUGCCAUACAUAGGCUGCAGGUACCCGCUCUGCAGGGCGCCGGGGAUCUGGGGGGCAUAGUAAGGAGAGAAGCCUGGUACAAAGUAAGGAAGGAACUGGCUCGUGAGCAACGCUGUGGGGUCCGAAGUCAAGGCUGCCUGCAGGGCCUGCAGCUGCGCAGGGUCCACUGCAUACUCCAUGGCGGGCAGCGGGGCUGAGAUCGUGGCUGUGGCCGCUGUGGGGGCCUCUCCUUUCUCCUUCUUGGGGACAGGGAGGGGCUCCCCUUUCCCUUUGUGUGCCUUUUCCUUCUCCUUGACCUUCUCACUGUCUUUGUCCUUGCGCUGCUGUUGCUGCUGUUGGGGUGGGAGCUGUGGUGCAGGUGGUGGCUGGGCUGCGGGCGGCGGCGGCUGCACCUGUAGCUGCUGCUGGGGUUGGGGGGGUUGCUGAGGGGCCAUCGCCAUGGUGGCUUGUGCUGGGGUCGGGGAGCUCAGCGAUGCUGAGGACGGUUUAUUUGGUAAUCCAGAUGUGGGGAGGCCAGGGGAAGGAACUGUUGUGCUGGGCAGACCCAUCAAGUUCGGUUUAGGAGACGUUAAAGCUGAAACAAACAGAACCACAUGUCAGUCGGGGGUGGUGAGGCUGAAGCUCAAGAUGUCUUAUUUGUGUCACUGGCACAAAGUCUGAGAUCUCAAGGUUUAAAUCCUAAAGAGCCUCUCAGAACCACCAUUUUCAAUAGAGGUGUCUCACCUUGUAUUCUGAUCAGUACCUGACCCUGAGUCAGCUCCCCGAUUUUCCCUUUCAGCUAAACAACUUCUAACACCUUCCUACCACAAGUGCCACACCCACUAAUUCAUAUUUUCUUUGGUGAGUUCCCCAAACCAGCUGGUUCCAGCUGGGACCCAUUUGAACCAAAGGCCUUCAUGAAAGCUCCACAGAAAUAAUAUAGCUAAGUGACCACACCAGAAGUUGUACAGGAGAGAGGAAAAGAAGAGAGCAAAAGCAAGAAACCUGGCCCAAGCCCAAAGCCCAUGUGAACAAACGCAUGUUCCUCUCUGACCUCCAUUGCUGUAGCAGAAUGGGCAUGUUAAGAGGGCAAAGAGAAGAGCUAUGGGAACAACUAAAAACAAUCCAUUUAGGGAAAACGGUCCCAUUACCUUGGUUCAGCUACUCUGCUUUAACAAAUCUUUUGAAAAAUGUAACCAUCUAUGAAUAGGAUUCUGGAAUUUGCUGGAAAAAUGGAGCAUGCUGUCUUCCUACUCAUUUGAAUGACAUGUACAAAGGCUGCAGUUGCUUGAGAAACCAGCCACAGGGAGAGGAGAAAAGCAGUAUCAGAAAUGGUAGGGCCCAAAAUGUUGGUCCCACCGCUUCCUAAGACAUGGCAACCUAGCCCUGCUUGUGAGUAGGAAAGGUCUUUGACCAUGUCACCAGGCCCACAUGGGUUACAGCCCCAUCCACAGUCACACUCUACCUGUGUGAAGCCUUCCCCCAACCCAGAGCCGAAUAUCCUCCCUCACCCAUAGUUCUCUCCUGGUUUGAGUCUGUCUUUUGUUCCAGGGUGAUGGAAGACAACACUGCUACUGGUACGUCAAGGUGGUGGUAGAAGAGGACAGCAUUGUGAGGAAGGGAGACCAGGUGUGCUGAAUGAGGAGAUGCUGAGAGGAAUUCACAGGCAGUGGACCUCAGAUCAUUACAUUCAGCACACUUCAGAAACUAGAUGGUAUUCAUCCCUUUGCUUCAGAGCAUACCACAGGUAAAAUUAAACCCACAGCUGCUAUUUCAUCUGGACCAACCUAGGAUUGGGUGUUCUAUAGCACAACACGGGCCUUGUAAGAAAAAAACACACGGAAGUGCACACCUGGGUGAAGACGAUGUUGACUUCACAGUGGGGCAGCAUGUAAAAACUCUCAAAUUUCAGACGAAGAGGACAAGGUUGCCUCAAGCUGUCAAUCCCAGAAAAAGAUCCAUUAAUGUUUGGAAAGCCAAGGAAGAUGCUUCCCUCAGCUUUGUGGAAUAGCAUUAAUCUAUUCUUUCAGAACAGCAGAAAGGGACGACUGAAAUUAAGUCAUCCAGUUUCCUCAAUGCACAGAAGGGACUGAAACCAGAGAGAUAUGUGUGACUCAGAAAAACCCCGUAAAGGUUCACUGGUUAAACUGGCACAAACAAGAUGGAGAGCAAAUGGAUUAUGAAGUCGACAACGUAGGACGCAGCUCUUUCUGUCUACUUACAGGCAACAGGUCUGCUCCAAGUUUUAGGUUGGAGUCAGAGCCAAAAGAUCAGCAAGGCAAUGCAAAAACAGCUAGAGAUUUCCUAUCUCUAUGGCAUCAGGCUUUCAGGAGAAGGAUCCAGGUUAGAAAGCCUAAUGUAACUAAUCUAUCUUGAAUAGAAGAGAAAGAAUUUUAAGGAUCAUUUACGGAACGCUUGCUGUAUUUACCAAGCUCUGCUAAAUAUAUUCUCAGAAUAAUUCUGUGGCCUCAUUUUUUGCUCAUCUGUAAGAUUAGAACCAAGCAAGGCCCUUCAUCCCCCUGGUACUUGUCACCCAACUCUGGAGUCAAACUGAUGCAGUAUGGAUUAUGUUUGACACAGAGCUGCUGUGUGGCCUUACGCCAAUUAACUGUGCAGAACCUCAGCCUUCUACAAUAGAUUGUUGUAGGGACUAAAUGAAAGGUCAUUUGGAAACAGCUUACCAUUGGGCCUGACAUAUAAAUACAAGUUUGUUCCCCCAUUCCAGAUCCAGUGCUCCUGGGAGCUGUGGUACAGUUAGGUGGUGGUAACUGGGACACACCUGGCUGCCUCUAAUAAUUAACAGCAUAUUUUUCUAUCUUGAGUCCACUCUUAGUGGUCAUAACCUGAGCAGCACUAAACAUAUACCUGUUGACUGACUGGCUCAUAUUGAGUGUUGUGGAAGGAGCACAUAGCACUGGGAGCCUGGAGGCCUGGGUGGGAGCUCUGGCUCCUACCCUAGCUUGCUGAAUGGUCUUGACCUCUCUGGCCCUCAGUUUUCUCAUCUGUAAAACAAGGGGAAUAGAUCAGACAUUCUGAUUCUAAUUUUUUUCACAUUAUUACGAAACGUUGGGCCAUCCCAAGCCCUUCUGCCAAGGUCCUAGGCUGCAAGGGUAAUUCAGUGCCUAGACACUUCCCAUAGCUUGAUUCUUGGCUUAUGUCUAGUUGGCUUUAGCAUAACUCUGCGACAUUACUUGCUAACAAACAUAAGCAAUGAGUUACACAUCUUAAUGCUUUCGCUUUUUCAACCCCUGGGAACAGGGACACGUUUUGAAGGCAAGGAGGCACUCUGAAGGGCUCUCCUUUGGUAAAGGUCCACUGGUCAAUGUAGGCCAUGGGGGAAACUUGCUGACUUGUGCCUAAGUUUCACAGGAUCCUGGAGGUCCAAUUUAGGAAAGAGAGCUGGCUCCAGAGAAGACAGAUUCAGAACCAUAUUGCCCAAUACAGGAUUCCUGGCCAGUGCAUUCGAGUACAAAGGGAGUCUCAUUAGGAACUGAUAGAGCCACUGUCGUUCUGGCUAGAUAAGAAGACCAGGAGUAAGGAUCCAUAUAUAAGAGCUUCUUCCUGAUAGCAGUUCUGCCAGAACAGCUCUCUAAAAAUGGGCAGGAACCACAGAGGAACAGUCGUCAUUGUCCAGCUUGGUUUGGUCAAAGUUUAGAUUAACUGAGGACAUGGAGGGGCUUUCAAAGUCUUCAAUCCCUUCCACCUUGAUGGAAGAAGGGCUAAGAAGAGUUCUGGGAGACAACUCCAUGGUUUUACUCACAGGUGAGAGGGGCACACCUUGGCCAUCACUACUGCUUGGGGGUAGGUGGGAAAAGCUGGUUCCAUCAAAAAUAUCUCCUUUCAUCUGAAGUCCCCCAUCACAGUCUAGGAGCAUUGCAGACAGAGUAAGGUUGUAGCCAGCUCUCUUGGCUUCAUGCCAAUGACGGGACCGGAUAUGAGCCUCAAGGGCAGUCUUGGCUUUGAAGAGUGCUCUGCAAAAGGGGCAUCUCCUAUGGGCCUGGGCUGGGCCCACAGCCCGGAACUGUCCUUUCCGUUCCCGGGCUCGGGUAUUCUGAAACCAGACUUGUACCACACGUUUCUUUAAGCCCACCUCAUGCGCAAUGUGAUCCAACAUCUUUCGAGUUGGAUUGGAGUCUAAUAGAUACUUUUGGUACAGUAUUUCUAGCUGUUCUGGUGUAAUAGUUGUCCUCAAACGCUUGUCUCUCUGAGGUUCUUCUCCUCCUGUCCCACUGUCAUUUUCUCCAGGGCUUGCACUGGCCUUUUCCUCCAGCUUCCUCUUCAGAGUGUUCAUUGUGGAGGUCGGAGUUGAAGGAGAAGUGGCCGAGCUGGCUGGAAUCUGAGGUAUGGCCCCAGAGAGCAGCUGGCUUGCCAGGAGUGGGUUACUAGGGUCAAACAGCAUGAAAGGCAUAUCCAGUGACCUGUCCAAAAACUGGGGGUGGAUGAACUGAUUCUGUGCACUCAGAAAAUGAAGCUGCUGAUGCUCCUGCCAGUGCUCAAACGAUGGAAAUGCCAACUUACAUUGGUCACACUGGUAGGGGAUUAGCUGAGGAGGUAGG